rnacentral:rRNA from 1 species
AACGAACGCUGGCGGCAGGCUUAACACAUGCAAGUCGAACGCAUGCCUUCGGGCAUGAGUGGCAGACGGGUGAGUAACGCGUGGGAACCUACCCCUUGGUACGGGAUAGCUCCGGGAAACUGGAGAUAAUACCGUAUGUGUCCUGAGGGACAAAGAUUCAUCGCCAAGGGAUGGGCCCGCGUCGGAUUAGCUAGUUGGUGGGGUAACGGCCCACCAAGGCGACGAUCCGUAGCUGGUCUAAGAGGAUGAUCAGCCACAUUGGGACUGAGACACGGCCCAAACUCCUACGGGAGGCAGCAGUGGGGAAUAUUGGACAAUGGGCGCAAGCCUGAUCCAGCCAUGCCGCGUGAGUGAUGAAGGCCCUAGGGUUGUAAAGCUCUUUCACCGGUGACGAUAAUGACGGUAACCGGAGAAGAAGCCCCGGCUAACUUCGUG